rnacentral:rRNA from 1 species
AACGAACGCUGGCGGCAUGCCUAACACAUGCAAGUCGAACGAGACCUUCGGGUCUAGUGGCGUACGGGUGCGUAACGCGUGGGAACCUGCCCUUAGGUUCGGAAUAACUCCCCGAAAGGGGUGCUAAUACCGGAUAAUGUCUUCGGACCAAAGAUUUAUCGCCUUUGGAUGGGCCCGCGUUGGAUUAGCUAGUUGGUAGGGUAAAAGCCUACCAAGGCGACGAUCCAUAGCUGGUCUGAGAGGAUGAUCAGCCACACUGGGACUGAGACACGGCCCAGACUCCUACGGGAAGCAGCAGUGGGGAAUAUUGGACAAGGGGCGAAAGCCUGAUCCAGCAAUGCCGCGUGAGUGAUGAAGGCCUUAGGGUUGUAAAGCUCUUUUACCCGGGAUGAUAAUGACAGUACCGGGAGAAUAAGCUCCGGCUAACUCCGUG